ACAGAAAUUGGUAGUGGAGCAGUCAAAAACCAUAACUCCAAAGUUUUUAGAGUGUUUAGUCUUCCAAAUUGAGACUGUGUACAUUACAGGAACAGAAGCCAGUGGAAUUCAGCAGGGACAGUAAAGCUCCAGAUAAAACAUUACCCAGACGAGUUAGUAACGUUCACACAAAACAGGUAUAGAAAAAGAAACAUGACGAGUGUCAUGUAAUCAGAAAACCAGUCCUCCCAAAUGGCAGACCAAUCUAAGACUACUGCAUUUUCCAGUGUUGGCAUUUCUUCUAAUUUGUGUGGUGUUCCUCGAGCAAGAUGCAUAACUUUUGCUUUGCAAUAUAGCAACUAGAAGACCAGUCAAAUGAGCUGCUCAGAUUGAGAAUAGGUUUAACAUGUUUGCUUGCUUUAUUCAUUUAUUUAUUUUAUCGGAUACUUGCUCUGCACUUGAAUUCUGAAUUUCCUGCCAUUUGUCUAUGCUGUUCUGUUUCCCAAAAGCUAACAAAUGAAUAACUCCAUGCUCCAGCUUUUGGGGAAGAUAAAAGAAAUCUGUUUUCCCCAUAGACUUUCUGCAGUAUUCUUAGAAAUAAGAACAUAAAUUAAACGAAGAGUGCGAAUGAAUUGUGAAAAGAGUAGCAGGGUUGUAGCUGUCUCAGCAUAUAGAAGACACUGUGGUUAUAGUGAGUAAUGAGAAUUUUAUUAAUUUGAUCAAAAGUAUCAUCACUUUAAAACAGCGAAUAACAUUUUAAUCACCUAUUUUCUGAUCUUCCUAAGAGAGUAAAUAAUAAAUGCCCAUUCAGUUCUUUCUUCACAGUCAUGAAACUGUUUUACGUUGACUGAGGAAAUGUUCUUUUCCAAACUGAGACUACUGACACGCAUUCACAACUUAUGCUUAAUUAUGAAAUCCCCGUGCUGUUUGCUGGAGAUGGUUUUUCUAGACUUUGGGCUUGGUUGUUUUCUGUGAUCUGCAAGCAUUUGUUGGAUGGAGGACACAAGUUCCUGUUAAGACAGCCUGUUACUGCUGUGCAAUAUUCACAAGUGAUUAAGGAUUCACAUUUGCUUCGAAACUACCCCAAUUAUUCUGCAAUAGUUCUGUCUUUAGGGAAGCACAGCUAACUUAUUUUGGAUUUCUAAAUAUUAGUUUAAAAACAACAGGUUUAAAAAUCAAGCAUAUCGUGUGGUUCUCCAAGAGAUCUGUGCUGUUAGGCUUGCAACAGAGUAGCAGUUACUCAGAUCUCACAAGCCUCAGGAUGCUUCCAGUUGCAGCUCUGAACCCCUGCCAAGCACAAGCAUGAUGAGUGUGGGCAUCAGAAACAGGAAGAGAGAAACAGGAACAGGAUGGGUUAGUUCUGACGAUUCCAACAGCAAUUAAAAAUGCAGUGUGGAUUUUGUCAAGCUUUUUUUCUAUUUAGCCAUAGUGAUUAUAAGCCAGAAUCCACCAUACUAGCUGACAAAGGCACUUUACACAUUGUGCAGCUCUGUCUGAUGCAAACAGGCCCAGUGACAAGGUGCUGCAGGUGGGACUGAUAUGUAGGAAGUGUGCCAGAUGCCUGUGCUCCCUUGCUCUCCAUAGCAGGUAUGGUACUAAGUGAUACAGCUGGGGGAUCCCAGGGGUGACACAGUUGGUCAGCCAUGACACACUUGCUUUAGAGUGAUGGCAAACUUGUGCAGGAACAUCUGUUAGAAUGGACAAAAUUCUGAAAGGAAAGAAGAAAACACCGGGAUUAUAGUAGCACUCACUCUCAAAAGGCACAAGAUUUCAGGUACGAGGGAGGUCACCAAGUCCACGUAGUGUAGGAUAGAUUGAAGUAGUGGCAUGAAAUUGGAAUCCACAUUUGUUUUCUUAUCUUUCCCACAACUUUCCUUUCAAUUUGUUCAUCACUUGGAUGGGCAUGUAGUUAUUAGCUGCCUCAUGUUAUUUGUAGCAGGACCAAAGAGCAGCCUCAGGGACACUGCAUUUACCGAUAUAUAUAUUACCCAAGAGUACCAGACACAGCCUGAAUUCACUGGCUAAUUAACCUUGCUGAGAAAGAGCAGAUUGUAUCCACUGGAUGUGUAUAACAUGAAUGACUAGAGUUUUAAUUGAACGUAAAUGAAAAAAAUCCUGUCUCAUAACCUGUACCGGCCCUAAACUCCUCGUGACACUCACCAGCUUUCCUUCUCUCAGGCAGAAUGCAUGGAGCUUUCUCCCAGACUCAGACUUUCUCCUGUGCUUUAGAUAGGCCAGCAAAUUAGCCCCUAGACAUCUUUCUUGGCUCUAAGCCCUCUCCAGCUUAGGAGAAACUAACAGAUGUGCCCUUUUGCUAUUCUCCUGCUCUGAGCUCAUUACAAGUUUCCAGGCAGGGGAAAUUAGCAAAGUCUCCUUAGCAUCUGCCUUUUCCAGCUGAGGAGGAACCACCUGCAGACAAGAUUCCCAGUCCUGGCUAUCCGAUUGUGUUUGGGCACAGGUACCUGUAAGUUUGCCUUCCAGACUGUUCCCUUCAUUGGCACUUGUACCAGCCCUGGCUGUUCAGCUGGAGCCUACAAACCCCUGGGUUUUUGCAGGGGAAUUGAAAUUUCUUUGCUUCAAGGGCUCAGCCUUUGCAGCAUGGUUCCAGAGAACUUGCUAUGGGUUUAGACGAAGAGUCAGAAAACCAAAAAGCUCCUCUAAUGCUUUUGUUAUACUUCCCUGAUGUUGUAAAAGUAGCUGAGGAUCUGUUGUCAAUCAGUUGCCAUGGGCUUUUUUAUUUUUCUUAAAGCCUCGGGUUACAGAGCCCAGAAAUUACCUAAGAAACUCAGUUAUUCCUUUAAAAGUAGUUAAAAUAACAGCUGUGGGUAGAGGCAUGGAAACGCUCAUCCUAACAAGAAAGUAAGAGCAUUUUUUGUUUGUUUUGUUUUUUAAGUGUGAGAAAGGCAGGUGAAUGGGGCUGGGGAGGGGCAGAUAGCAGCCACCUGGGCCACAUCCUGGGUGGCAUGUCCCUAGACCAGGUCACCUGGCGACAGACCAACUCCGUACUGAUCCACAUGGUGAAGCCUCUUACCUGCCCUGCUCACGUGAGGAGGAAGGGAAGUGCCAUCUCUCACCAGACUGCAUGCUGGAGGCCUAAUCAUCCAGGUAGGCCUGGCCUUUCAGUAAGGCAGUUGUCUUCCUCCUCCCCUCUCUCCUGGCCACAGGCUUUGCUUCAUUGCCUUGCCUGGCUCCUUCUCAGGCAGUAAGUUAUGAAGCAGUGAAUUACGAGCACUUUCAGCAGGGAGCAGGAGACAGGGAAGGGCAGGUUUGUCACAGAUGGUGGUUUGGUGAAGCAAUGCCAACCAUGAAGUAAAUUUUGCUGGUGGUGCUGUAGAGAUGACUGCUUUAAAAUAAGCGUCUGCAUGAGGAGCGAAGUCUUUAUCACUGAUCAGGUGUUAUUGUGAUUGAUCACAGGAAAAGUUAACACUGUUGAAUUCAUCAUGGCAGUGCUUUAGCAAAAACUAUGUCCUGUAACAUGAGAUGCCUUUGCAGCUUUUGUUCCCUUGUAGUAAUUAAAAGAUUAACAGCACAUUCUUGAAAAACAAGCAAACAGAAAACUUUUUAUUUACCAGCAGAAUAUUACUGGGAACCAGGAUGAUACUCUUAUGGUUUCUGAUGUGGGGCAACAAGCCAUAGGAAACUACCACCGAGGAUAUGGAAGAGUUAAGUGAUGCUGGAGGAGCUUUGAACCAAGAAAGGAUAUGCAUUUUCUUUUGAGGUCAAUCUUUUUGAGCCUCAAACUGUUGAAUCUUGGUGCAGGAAUUAUCAAGUAUAUUAUCUAUACAUCCUGUGAAAUGCAUUGGGGUGGAUGACUGGAGAGUUUACUCCAGUUUUACAGUGAUAUAAAUCCUUCUGUGCUGAGCCACUGGCCUUAUUACAACAGAUGUCAUGAUCCUAGAACUGUUGACACUUCAGGAGUGACCAGACAGAUUAUUUACCUCUGCUGGCUGUAUUUUCAGCCUUGGAACAGAGGUCCAUCUCACACACAGUAAUGCAGAGUGAAGGCAAAUACACAAGGACUGCUCAACACAAACAGGACAGCUUGGAACAUGAAUUUACAUGACACUGGUUAAUUUUUUAACCUCUUUCUGGAGUCAGUGAAGAGAAAAAUGUAGUUUGCCUGUUCUUCUGUCCUGUUUCAGAUAUCUGCAGUGAGAUGAGAUGAACUUCCAGUUACUGAUCUACCCAGAUAGGUGAACAACUGGUUUGGGUCUCCCAGCUCUAUUGAUUGCAAUGGUGUUUUUUUUUUUCUUGGUGUCCAUCAGUAAAGCAGACAACAGAAUUACAACAAAUUUGAGGAAGGAUGGGGCAUCUGAAUUUGGUAUGGGUUUUGUUUGCUUGUUUGUUUGUUUUCCUGUGUUUAAUUCUGUUUGGCCAUAUUAAAAGCUGAUCAGUACUAAAUGAGUCAAUAGGUUUAGGAAACAUCCAGGUAUCACAACAAACGAAUAAGGAUAUUAAUAUGGGAAAUAACCAUUCAGAUUGAGUGAAUGUGGAAUUAUAUAUAUAAGCUGGACAGACGAGAUUCAUAGGAUAAAUUUGAUGUUACAACAAUAGUGUCUGUAUUGGGCUGUUCCGUGCACUGUGCCAAUGACAUUCCACAUAGCUACUUUUGAUAUACCAUAUUACACACUUCAGCAUUUUUGUGGCAAAUGGAAAGAAAUACCCAAUGAAUUUUAAUUAACCAAAUUACAUGAUAGUCAAAUCAAAGAAGAGAUGGGACAGUUCCAUUUAAAAUUAAAUCAAAUGCUUUGUAAUAUGGUACAGACAAAUACAUCUCAAUUGCAGCACACAACAUCAGUGCCUGUAGGGGAAUAUAGAACAAUGUAUUCCUAAUGCCAGACACUCAAGAGACUAUUUAUUUAAAUUGCAUAAAGAUUUACACUCUGCUAAUCUUAUUAUGAACAUUACAUUGGAUACCCAGAUAGAAGCACAGUGCAUGAUAAAAUUGGGCCUUAAAAGAUUAUUACAUUUGUGAGGAUCUUCUCCUAAAUAAAGGUAGCAGGACGUUUACUUUCGCAACACCUGGAUACAGAAAGUAAUACUGGUACAAAGCAGUAAUGCUGUUGGACUUGUUUAAUGGGCAAAUUCUCCUCCUGCAUUUCUUUUCCUGUUGGAAGCCACCAUUAACACCUGUCAGAUCCACAUAAACACGUUCACCUUUCAAUUCAUGUGACCUGGUUGUAUUAUAGCUUAUGUGGGUUCUGAGGGUGGUAAAUUAAUAGACAAUACAAACCAUUUCUCCAAGGCAAUAAGUUCCCAUACUCUCUUUUUCCACAGGAAGUACUCAGCUGCUUUUCCAUUAUUUUCUUCUAUGUUUUGUUGUAACAGCUGUUACAGAAAGGUGAACUCUCAUGUGCAAAUUCCCCUGGUGACGUACCAAAAUCCAAGGUUUGUGUUCUCAGAGAUGCUGGAAAGUAAGGAUGGCACUGCAGAACCACGUUGCUGAUAAGAAUGUGACAGUUUUCAGCUGUAUGAUCUGACCAUCUCCAGAGUUAACCAGCACAUCCAGGCAUAUUGAACUGAUUUAUUACCAGUGGAGGGUGAAGUGGCAGCUUUGAUUUGAAAUCACUCACCUUCUUGAAAGGGCUGAGGAGCCAUUCCUAUUUCUUUUAUCAAUCAUCCAGCGCAAUUUGGAUGCCAGUUGCCCAGCUGGGAACUUCACCCACGGUGACCCACUGCAUCCAGAAAACAGUAUUUAAGAAAGAAAACAGUAUUUAAGAAAGAAAACAGAUUUGUCAGACACAUGGAUUUGUCUAUCCUCAUCAUGCCACAUAACUGCACAUUCUACACCAGCAUUGCUUCAGCUCCUGGAGCUCAAAUCAAAGGCUUGUGCUUUCCACAAGAUGUAAAGAGGCCAAUGAUGUCCUCCCACAGAUAGGCGUGUUUCAGCAGAAGCACUGCAGGAACAUGAAACAUGCACAUGCCUGAUCAAUCUCUUAAUCAUCUUAUCCAUAGAAUCAGGGCAUGUGUGCAUCCAUUGUGAUGUAAUCCAAUUAGGGCCUUGGUAAACACCAAAGAUACUGCUGUGGCAAUAAUAGCAAUUAAUGCAGAACUCUAACCUGGUUCAAGGACAGAGACCUGCCAAGUCUCGUGAGGUGAGAGUUAAUGACCCUGUUUUAUCUGCCCCUCUUCAGCCUUUGGAGUCUAAGGGCUGAUGGUUUCCUGCUUUUUUUUUUUCCCCAGCUGUGAGCUGGUGGCCACGGACCUGCUGACCUUCCAUGCAUGGUCUGUGGGCUCUGGAAGUUGCGCAGAUUAGUUAUGCUGCACAUGGGGGGCAGGAUAAGACACCUCCCCUGACAACUCUUCCCUUCCCAAGUGACCCGCUGUGGAGGGACUCGGCUCCUGUCCCAUCAAGUGGCCAGGAGGAUGACCUCACUGAACACAGGCUCAAGAAAUUGGAAAAUGUGGCUAUGGGAGGCCAUCACCUCUUGGGCCAUUAUGCCUGUGACUCUUGCCUGCUCAUUUAUUCCCAUUAGUCUUCUUGCCCUUGCCUCAGCAAAGCUAAUAUUAUGUACAUGUGGGAGGCAGAGGGGAGUAUAAAUAGGCAAGGACUGUGAUUUAAAUGACUGAUUAAUAACAUUAAAUUUAUUAAAGGAGGCCCAUUGAAUUAGACCCACUCCUGUGCAAAUUAGAUUAAAAUGCCCUGAAUAGAUCAGCUGAUCAGCUGUUUCAAUUUUCCUUCUCUAGCAAAUGACAUAAGAUUAUGGCAUUUUCACUUGUAAGUCAUCCUGUUCCCAAAGAUUAAUUUAAUUCAUAUUAGUCCUAGUGCUUAGAAAAAUCAUCUCUUGUACACCUUGAGAGAGGCUUCACAGAUCUGUGUCACCUACUCUUUUAUAAGCAGCUUGAGGUAGCUUCUUUUCCAUUUGCUAUCACUGAACCACCUAUAAACAGAGGAUUUAUAGACAGUCUCGGUUUUAAAAUGCUAAAUUAUGAAACAAACUAGUUUUGUGUUGCCAUAUUGCCAAAGAGAUUCGCUUGUUGUAGCAGUUGGAUGUGUGGAUAAAUGGUAUUUCACCCUAGGAGUCCAAUAAAACUCUUGGUCUUAGUGCCAGCCAUUUAGCCUCUAGAAGAAGCUGAAAUUUGUUUCAUAAAAGUGCAACUAAUGCUCAUUUUGACAGUCCUAUUUUCUUAAAAAAUAUUCCCAAAUUCUUCACCUCCAAUUUAGAUAACUAAAUAUUUUUAGUUAAAUUAAGUCAAUAAGUAUUCUUGAGUUCAGGGCUUUUCACACCCACACACUCCUCUUCAUCUUUUUGAUUGGUAGAAGAGUUAAAUAUCUCACAAAAGCCAGCUUCCAAUUUUUCUUUUCAAUAGAAGUGAAACUCUUUUUUCACUUAGCACACACGCAUAUCCAUAAAAAUAGUAUUUCUGGAACAAUGUCUUGCCACUCAUCAAACACUCACAGCACUGACCUCCAGAGUUUCAGAUUAUUUGAGUUCUGUCUCUAACAAAGUAGGAAGCAACCUUUCAAUCUUCUUUUUUUUUUUUUUUUUAAUAGUACAACAAUGUGGUAGUUGGCAUCAAAUUAGGCAUUUGAAAUAGAACCAGCUGGUGGUGGUGACAACUGUUUCCAGGGAGGGAGCCUGGAUUCGUGAAUUUCCUCACUUUUCUCAUUAUGGAUUUGAUGCUUUAAAACUGUAGUAUAUACCGAUUUUCCUUACUCUUUCCUCUAUUCUGUGUUGGUCAGACAUGCUGGCUAGUGAGCAGAUAGAAGAUUUCAGUGUUUAAUAAACAGGUGCUAGCCUGGUGAUUUGGGAUCUUUGAAGACAAAGGCAUCACAGAAACUACAUAAGAUUCUGAGGGGAAAAAAAAAGUGUUAUUUCCAUUGAAAAGUUAGUUGCUGGAAGAUUUCCAGCUUGUAAUGAAGCUUAAGAAAGGAUUCUCUUUGUCGUGGAAGAUUCAUCUGUGGGAAGUUAUAUCAAGGUGGGAUGUCUAGGACAUGCCUUCCUCACCUCACCUCUGAUGUUUGGGUAGAUUAUGAUGGAAGAGACAUCCAUCUGUGGAGCAGAAGGCUGGUUGGCCUUAAACGUGGUUUUAUCCACUCAGCUAAUGACAGCUUUCAAGCCGUAGAGUAAGAGAAUCCAAUCCUUUAUCUUGAUAUCAAAUAGGUGUUGGCAUUUCCAUCAAAUAGGAUAAAUGUAACUUAACGUCUCUCUCUUCAAAGGAGUCCAAAUCAGCUGGGAAAAUAAGCUGCAACUUAUUUAAUCAGAAGUUUUACAUAUGAACUUAAUCUUUACUGGAUGAUUACAUUGUGUUUUGUUAAUAAUAUUUCUUUUAUUAUUUAGGGCGUCAUAUGACAAACACUAGAAAAUGGCUUAAGAUGCAGAAUCUCCGAAUCAAACCAUGUUGUGAAGCCAACAGCUUUGCUCACCACAAAUUUCAUCAACUGAAGACACAUAUUUUCUGUUGGUGCCCAGAGAGUAAUGAAAGGUAAAGCACAUUCUUUGUAGGAAGUUUCUAUACCUUUAAAAUUUGCUCCUUUCUACAGCCUGUGAUAAGCGAAUUUUGGUUACUGAAAGGCAAGAUGCGAGGUGUGUCAUUUUGCCAUGGCUUCUCUUCCUUCGGCAGGUAGCCAGUACCUCUCUCGUGGGUGGACAUGAAAAAGGGAAAGAUGAGUUCUGAUGUGUCAAGAUCUAGAGAUUUGAAAGUUGUUUUUAAUUUUGUGAAGCACAUUUCCAUAGCAAAAUAUUAGACACAGUAGAAAUGUAGUUGUUUUCUUUCUUUCAGCAGAACUGCCACCUUGGACUUCCGGAGGGCGGACUUCAACCUCUUUAGGACCAUGGUUGAGAGGGUCCCUUGGGAGGUAAUUUUGGAGAGCAUGGGAGCCCAGGAAGGCUGGGAAUAUUUUAAGGAAACUGUUUUAAAGGUGCAGGACCUGACCACCCCCAUGUCACGGAAGAUGAGCCGACAGGCAAGGAGGCCGGGCUAGCUGAACAGAGACCUUUGGCUGGAUCUCAAGAACAAAAGGAAAGUUUAUGGUCUCUGGAAGAGUGGGCAAGCUACUUAUGAGGAUUACAGGUAUGUAGUGAAGCUGUGCAGGGAGAAAAUUAGAAAAGCCAAAGCACAGCUAGAAUUGAGCUUGGCCACUAAAGUGAAGGAAAACAGUAAAUGCUUUUAUAAACACAUUAACAGCAAGAGGAAGUCUAGGGAGAAUCUCCAUCCCUUGUUGGAUGCCGAAGGCAACCUGGUCACCAAGGAUAGGGAUAAGGCUGAGGUACUUAAUGCUUUCUUUGCCUCAGUCUUUAAUAAUAAGACUUGUUACUCCCUGGGAACACAGCCCCCUGCGCUGGUAGAUAGGGAUGGGGAACAGAAUAAGCCCUUCAUGAUCCAUGACGACAUAGUUUUGGACCUGCUGCAAAAGCUGGAUGCUUACAAGUCCAUGGGGCCGGAUGGACUGCACCCUAGAGUGCUGAGAGAGUUGGCGGAUGUGGUUGCCAAGCCACUCUCCAUUAUUUUUUGGUAGUCCUGGCUAACUGGGCAUGUCCCAGUGGAUUGAAAACUGGCAAAUGUGACGCCCAUCUUCAAAAAGGGCCAGAAAGGUGAUCCUGGUAGCUACAGGCCUAUCAGUCUCACCUCGGUACCAGGGAAGGUCAUGGAACGAAUAAUCUUGGGAACCAUCAUGGACCAAGUAAAGGUCAACCAGGGGAUCAGGCCCAGUCAGCAUGGGUUUGCAAACGGUAGAUCCUGUCUGACAAACCUGAUUUCGUUCUAUGACAAGGUGACCCGCUUAGUGGAGGAGGGUCACGCUGUCAAUGUGGUCUACCUGGACUUCAGUAAGGCCUUUCACACUGUCCGCCAUAACAUUCUUGUGGAGAAGCUGGCUGCCCAUGGUCUGGAUGGGUGUACGCUCUGCUGGGUGAAGCACUGGAUGGAUGGCCAGGCCCAAAUUGUCGUGGUCAAUGGAGUUGAAUCCCGUUAGUGGCCGGUCACGAGCGGUAUCCCCCAAGACUCAGUGCUGGGGCUGCUUCUGUUUAAUAUCUUCACUGAUGACCUGGAUGAGGGUAUUGAGUGCAUCCUCAGUAAGUUUGCAGACGACACCAAGCUGGGAGGGAGUGUUGAUCUGCCAGAGGGGAGAAGGACACUACAGAGGGACCUGGAUAGACUGGAUUGAUGGGCCAAGGUUAAUGGCAUGAGUUUCAAUAGGGCCAAGUGUUGGGUUCUGCAUUUUGGUCACAACAACCCCAGGCAACCCUACAGGCUUGGGGCAGAGUGGCUGGAAAGCUGCCUGAUGGAAAGGGACCUUGGCGUACUGUUGGACAGUCAGCUGAAUGUGAGCCAGCAGUGUGCCCAGGUGGCCAGGGGGGCCGGUGGCAUCCUGGCUUGUAUCAGGAAUAGUGUGGUGAGCAGGACUAGGGAAGUCAUCCUGCCCCUGUACUCGGCAUUGGUGAGGCCUCACCUCGAGUACUGUGUUCAGUUUUGGGCACCUCAGUACAAGAAGGACAUGGAGGUACUGGAGCAGGUCCAGAGAAGGGCAACGAGGCUAGUGAAGGGCUUGGAAAAUCAGCCCUAUGAGGAGAGGCUGAGGGAGCUGGGGCUGUUUAGUCUGGGGAAGAGGAGGCUGAGGGGAGACCUUAUUAUUCUCUUCCAGUACCUGAAGGAUGCUUACAGUGAGUGCGACUUCUCACUGGUGACAGGUGACAAGACGAGGGGAAAUGGCCUCAAGUUGCACCAAGGUAAGUUUAGGUUGGACGUUAGAAUACACUUCUUUACAGAAAGAGUGGUUAAACAUUGGAAUAGGCUCCCCAGGGAGGUGGUUGAGUCACCGUCCCUGGAUGUGUUUAAGAGCUGUUUGGAUGUGGUGCUCAGAGAUAGGAUUUAGUGGAGGGUUGUUAGAGUUAGGGUACUAUGGUUAGGCGGCGGUUGGACUUGAUGAUCUUUGAGGUCCUUCCCAGCCUGAGUAAUUCUAUGAUUCUAUGAUUCUUUCCAUUUUUUUCUUGUUUGUUUUUGUUUUUUAUAUAAAUAAGCACUUGGUUACGGACAUGAGAGAAGAUGAGAAGAAAAGAUAGGGUUAUUUAUUUUUGAUAAAUGUAGAGAUGCUACCAGACUCUUCAGGUUGUUCUUAUUUUUUCUUUUUCCAAAGUGAAAAAAGAUCGUAGGCUCUUCAGUUCAGAUAUUUACAGACUAAACUAAGAUUUACAGACUAAACUGUUUUGAUCAGACUCAUUUUUGAUAAGGAAUUCAAGGCAGAGAACAUAGAGUAGGUCCCUUUCCCAUAGACAUUGAAUGCUAUAAAAUGAGACUCUGUUCUGAGAUAAAAUUGAACUAUGACCACUCCUCCCACUAUGAACCUGAGAAAUGAAAGAGCACUGCUGGCACUCAGGGAUUGCCUACACAUAACAACUGUGGGACUUUAACUACUCUUUCAGUGGGACACUAGUUCAACCUUUUAGCAUUGUCUUGCAACUUUCUAUGUAUGUAAGGCCAAUAUAGCCACUGUCAGGCAAAAAGUAGGCCACGUACUAUGGAUAAAUUUCCACUGAAACAAUCGUGUCCUUACAAGAGAUUGUACCAUUAUACUACUGCAUCAAGGAGAAGACAAUGACAACAAUAAAAUUAAAACCAAAAUCCACUUCUAGCAUGAACUGCUCUGACAAAAAAUAAAAAUAAAAAAAUCUACAUAUACACUUGAAUGGUUUGUCAAGGCAGAUAAAAUGUCCAUUUCUGACAUCUUGUUGAACCAGCUUCUUUACAAAACCAUGUGAAGGUUCAUGCUAGCGUGCUGCCUCUUGGCUCCCUCUUUUAUGCUCCUGUCAAAAACAUAAUAGCAUCUUCAAACAGAUUUUAGAGUUCCGGUGAGAAGUCUGGGUGAAGUCUCAGAGUGAGCUCUACACAGUCUUAGCUCUCCUAAUCCACAGUGCUUCUAGGAAAGAGUGUGCCAACCUAUCACCUGUAAGGAGAGGCUGUAACAAGGAAAUUAUAAAGAACAAUGAAUGCUUUCAUUGCUCCUUCACAUAGGAUAUGGCUAGAGUGAUCCUCCAUCACCCCUAAAGAGCUACACAGAUGGCAAGAUUCUGCAAGAAAGUACUUUAUUACCUAUGUUCUUCACAUUUUCUUGUCCCAUAAAGGUUUAAAAAGAUAUGAUUUGCUUGGCACAAAAAAAGCAUAAUGCUAGAACAUGGUGUUUCAACUUUGAAGCCACAGUUUUGCUUCUGAGCCUAUUUUUAUCUCUGUGCUUAUUAUUAUUGUGCAGUUUCUUACAUAAAAUAUGAAAAGUUGGGACAAUUUCAGCAAAAUAAGCCUUUUCUUCUAUUGUAGUAGCUGUAUGUGAAAUAGCUCUUAUACUCCAAGUACUUUAGGUUUUGGUUCCAAAUUACUUUUUGCUCCUCCAAUCGUUCCCACCCUAUAUCUUCUUGCUGUGCUCUGGGAAAUGAGCUAGUGGCCUCAGCACAGUUUAUGGUGGACAGAAGCUCCCCACCACUGAAAACUAUCUCUGCAGAAGUCUCAGUGUGUUGGUAGCGUCAGCAUAGAGUGAUCUGGGCAGACUGCUACAUAACUUGGAAUUUUUAUAAGCUCACACCCAUGUGAUCAAAAUAAUUAAUAUGUUCAUCCUGGCAACACCCAUGUGCAAAAAAAGUGCAUGAUAUCUGUGUUACAGCUGUGCGGCUGAGGUGCUGAAAGAUAAAAUCUCUUGGUCAAGGUACCACAGGAAAUGCCAUUCCAGCACUUAAAUCCCAAAAUGAUCCAGGAACGUCUCAUCCCACCGAAUAUAUCCUCCAAGCAGGAAUCAGUCACCAAUCUAACAUGGAUGGUGGCCUUUUAGAAAAACCCCAGUGCCGUAUGUGGUGGAUGACUGUAUUUGGCUAAGUCUAACUACUUCCUUCACCCAGAUGAAAUCCCUUUACAAAAUGAAUCAGUCAAAACAAGCAUUGUAUAGAGCUGCAUCAGAAGGUGCAAAUCACUCUCUCACACACUAGGUACCCUGAAGGGUGAAAUUUAUCUUACAGAGUAGAUGUAGGAGGCAUACGACUAAGUUCAGAGUCUCCUGCAGAUUGAGGACUGUGGAAUUGAAGUGGCCAGAGGGUGGUAGCACUGCACAGCUGAAGUACCAUGGCCCUCUGCGCCAGGUGGAAGGAGAGGUGGCAGAAGGAGCUCUGAUCUGCCUGUGAAGCUGAAAAAAAGGAAGAGGUGAAGUUGGAAUAACUUUUAAAACCAAAGGAGUGUUACUAAAAAUAAGCUUUAUUUUAUACACUGCUCUUUCCUGACUCACUCGACAGAUUUGUUGAAUUGGUUUCCUCCUCUUACUUUAAACUGCAAGAUGCUUCUCUGCCUUCCACAAACUAAGGUAAAAGUAGCUGUAGCUUCAUUUUUUUGCCAGGGAAAGGAGGAAGCAGAGUUUAGGAAGGGUGGCUUUUGAAAUGAAGAGGAACUUUUGUUCUCAAGCACCUCACUUUCUUAGGCCUUGAAAACACUACUCUUUCUGACAAUCUUUCAGAGUCUACUAGUAAUGAUGGCAGCUAUUUUCUGAGGUUUUACUUUUUCAGGUGAUGCUCAUUCUGGUGUAGCAGCCACCAACUGUCAGACAUGUGGCUUGUGUUCCGUGGCACAAGACAACCAAAAAAGCAAAAUGGGUGCUCAUUUGCAGCUUCAAGUUAAGCACACUUAGCACUGCAAAUACUUCUAGGUUAUAAGUGAGUCUCUGUUUUGUAGGUAAGAGUCAUUAUCUUAGUUUUGCUAAAAGGAGGAAAGUUGAGAAACUGCAGAAAUAACUAAUCUAAGGACAUGUACAAUACCAAAUCCAGUGUCAGGCUAAUUGUGUUGUGUCCACGUGCAUUUGCAUGCAUGUGCAUAUAUUAACGUAUCUGCCUGCCAGUAUUUCUUAGCUUGUAGUUUAAAACAUAAAAGAUCCGUAUCUCCUGGCCUCUACCUGCCAUUUUACUCAGCAUGAUGUAUUCUAGAGCUAGGAAAAAUAGAUUUGGGCUGCUGACAUCAGUCAUCAUUUUUCUUGUUCUCUCCUAUGCCACUGAGAACUGUGUGUCCCUAUCUGUCUUUCUAUUUCACAUUCCACUUAUUGUAAUAAUUUUUGCCUUGCUGAACAACCACAGGUAAGUUUCUACACUGCUCAGAGCCUUGGUACUCCUGUAAGCGAGAUGAUGGUGCCAACACUUACCUAGCCUGGCAGACCAUUCCAGGAUCCACAGCUGCUGAGUGAGACUCAAUAGCACGAUUGUAAUUGGGCAGGCACUGAAAGGCCUCAUGCUCAGUGGCUUUUAUUUCCCUGCCUCCAAGUGCAGCAGUUUUUAAAUGCUGCUGUAUGCGUUCACUGGAAUUUCUCCCCAUCUCUCUUUCCCCUCUCAUUCCCUUCCCACCUCUCCCCUAGGCCUCUCAAAUGCCACAAAGCUCUCUGACAAAUCUAUCUUCACCACUGACCUAUUUUUUCUUCCCUGUCAUUUGGUUCUGGUUUGCCAGCUUUAUUCCCUUCAUAACCACACAUAUCAAUAGUUACUUUAUCACCAUUCCCUUUCCUGAGCCUGGCACUUUUCCACUCUCCUCUUUAGAAAUUCUCCUUCUGUCCUGACUCUUUCUCCAGAAACAGCCGUGGGCUAUUUCUAACCUUCCUUCUCUCAUCAAAGUGCUUGAGAAAUCAGCUUGCUUUCAUCUCUCGAUGGGGAGACUGCAAUGCUGCUGUGGCUCAUGGACAGGCCUCGGAAGCAGGAGCUGAUGCCUGCUAAUGGAAGCACUGCCACUGACUCAUUGCGUGGCCUUCGGCAAACCACUUACCCUCUCUCCUUUCAUAGCUUUAAAAUAGGAGUGAUAAUUAUUCACUUACCUCACAUGGGUGUUGUAAAAGUUUAAUUAUUGCUUGUAAGAUGCUAUCUAACAUUGAAAUAUAUCUUUAUUUUUUGAAUGGUAGCUGUGACCACUGAUACCUGCACUUAGUUCAGGCCCUGGAAUGUGAAACUAUCUUCACUGUGUAGAUGAAGCCAGCCUUCCUUCUGGUCACAGAAGUCCCUGUACCAUAGUGAUAUAUGAUAUAGCAAAGAUCCCUUGACUGCUGGCAGCUCCCUCCUAGGUACCAGGCAGGUAGGCUGAAUGUCCCUCUGAUCAAGGUUACCAUUCCUUCACUUGAUCUUUUCAUCUCUCUCCCCCUGAAGUUGCUGGUGAACCACUCCUGAGCUAAGACUCUUCUCCUCAUCUCCUCUCCACUGCUUUUCCCUUCCUCAUCCACUGUCUCACUAUUCCCUUUCCCUCUGCUGCUGGCAGGACUUGUCUAUUCCACCCUCUCUCUUCUUGCAGUUGCUCUCUCAGCCUGUCUCAACCGGUGCAACUCGAAACUUAGCCUCAGCUUUCUUCAGGAUGUUGCCACACAGAUGGGCCUGUCUAGUGAGAGACUGACUACAUGAGUGUAGGAAGGGGCAGUGGACCACAAGCAGGCAGGUGCUGCUGCUGCUGCCAUCCCUGACGUUGCGCACGUUGUGCGUGAGCAACACAUCUAACAAGUUAGGCCUCUGUCCUACCAUGCACACAUGUGGAUGCCCUGAGGUCUGUUGAGGAGGCAGCUGGUCCUCCAGCACCAAGAGCCAGGAUAGGACAAACAUUCAGUGCCACAUCCUGCAUCACUGCUGGUACUGCUGCUUCCCCUGACAGUAGGCUGCCCUCCUUCCAUUCAAGUGAAUGGUAUACAGAAAAGAUGCUAAAGUUGCAGAGAUGGAAGCUGCUAAGAACAGUGUCCAGGCUGACAUCCCGGAGACCCUCCAUAGGCAACAGAAAAGUGUGGAGAGUUGGGCCAGAUAAGGACAUGACCUUGGCACCCAUAUCCACCCACCUCUAUGCCUCUUCUCAGCCAUCUCCCAACAUAAUAUUGGGGUCAACUCAAGUUACUGGUAUUAAUUAUGUCACUCCCUACACACAGACAAAAAAAAAAAAAAUGGUGAGCAACUUAGAUUGAUUACCACCUCUUUCCUGUGAAAGGGCAACCUGUUUGCUCUGAAGGUUACUGCGAAGCCCAAAGAGACUGUUGCUGUUAACCCUUUUGUAUGCAGAUCUGCUUUUGGAAAUAGAAGACAACUACAUAAAUAAAGGCCACCUCAUAUCAGGGCGAUCCGAACGACUCAAUGGUAAUUGAAAAGUUGAUUAUUUUUUGAUUCUUGGCCAAAAUCUUUAUCUUCAGUUAACAUUGGGCAGUUUCUGAGCUAAAGUUAUAAAAGGGCACGAGAAUGGAAUAAGACCUCUGAGAAGAAACUGCUGUGCAGCUCCUGCCUAUCUAUAAUGUAUCCACUCUAAAAUACAACCAUAAACGUCAGGCAUGAUUUAAUAGGUUAUAAAAUCUUACAUUAUGAUGCCACUGGAACUAUUGAAAAUAAAAGCAGAUAAAUCACACUUCUAUGCAACAAGCUGUACUCACACUGAUUUUUUUCAUUUGCCAAGGUUUCAUUCUGCAGUUCGCUGAGUACACACUGCUCUCACUCGACCUCGAGUUUCCUUUUCCUUUUUUGCUUUUCCUGUUUCCUUUUCCUUCUCCCUUAUUUCAUUUUUCUUUCUUUCCUUCUUAUUUAUUUAUUUAUUCAUUUAUUUAUUUAUCGCUUCUCCUUCUCCUUUGCUGCAUUUCCACGUCAUCCUACCGGUCAUACAGCUGGGCAGCACUGUCACUAUAGGCCAUCGCCUCAGAAGGUACAGAACAGUGCAGAAUGACUAUCUGCUUCCACUGGAAUUUUUCCAUGAGCUCCUUGCUCAUCCAUAUGUGUCCCUGCCACCUUUGCUUGAUUUCUAAUUCUUAGGGAUGCACUGAUCUUCAGCUUGGAAGAACUGGUGCUAGAAUGUCAACCAACUCUCUUGGGCUCCCUUACCUUCCAGUGCUCUAACCCAUGGCAUACCUCCACAUAGGUCCUUGAAGAGGUCAUAGUUGGCUCUCCUGAAGCCCAGGAUUGCAAAUUGCUACUUUCAUCUGUCUGCAGAAGGCCUCACCAACUUCCUCCUCUUGAUCAGGUGGUCUGAACUAAACAUCCACAGCAGUGUCAUAUUAGCCUGCCCCUUAAUCCUCACCCAUAAGCUUUCCAGUGGUUCAUCAUUCAUCUCCUGGCAGAGCUCAAUACCUUCCAGUUGUUCUCUCACACAAAGAGCAGUUCCACUAUCUUGUCUUACUGGCCUUGUCUUUCUUAAAAAGUACAUAGCCAUCUAGGAUAGCAUUGCAGUCAUGCAAGCUGUCCUACCAUGUCUCUGUGAUCACAACGAAAUCAAGGUCCUGCAACUGCUCUCUACUUUUUCCUACUUAUUUGCCACACUGUGCACAUUGGUACAUAGUCACUUCAGAGAAGAAAAGGGAGCUGAGAAUGCAGGUAUCCCUAGAGGAAUGCAGGAGUAUUCCCCAUAGCUAUACACACUGUUGAAGUGACUGUUCUUCAGGCUCAUGUCAUGGGAGGUAGCUAAGGAACAUUUAUCACAGUUCUGAUUGGCUUGGCUCAUUCUCCAGUUGUGAGUGUGCCAUGAGAAUUGCAUUUUUGAUCGCACUCCCAAAGUCAUUCAGUUUAAAGCUCACCUUACUAUGUUAACCAGCCUGCUGCCAAAGGUGGUCCUGCCUCUUCUAGGCAGGUGGAUCCCACCCUUUCCCUAAAAGGUUAUAAUCUUCAUAGAAAGUCCCACUGUCAUAAGAAACAAAAACUUCAUGUGCCAACCACAUAUCCAGGAGUUGACAUGCAUUAUAACUCUAUUUUUGGCUGCCCUCUCUCCUCCAACUGGUAAAACUGAAGAGAAGUUAACUUGGGCACUAGUGUUCUUCACUUGUGCUCCCAGGGCUUUAUAGUCUUUUUGAUUCUGCCUAUGUUCCAGUUUCCAUUGUCAUUCAUGCCCACAUGAAAGAGCAGUAGCAAAUAGUAGUUCCAUGCUCUUGACAAGCUGUGGCACUCUCUUGGCAAUGUCUCAGAUCUUGGCUCCUGGGAAGCAGGAGGCCUCUCCAGAUGGCCAUGUCAGGCAAGCAGAGGGGAGUGAGCCUCAGCGCCUUUAAAUAGGGAGUCACCUACUACAAGCAGGGGCUUGCUCUGUUUUCAGGGACAAACUCUAGACUAGAAAGUAUGAGCACCCAAUGCCAGAUUUUCAGGCCACUACAAGCAAAAAGAUCAUUCUUCAGUUCACAGUUUUCUCAUCCUGCUCUUGCCUUCCAACACCACAGUCUCCCUCUCCCAUGACAGCGCUAAUAAAGGCAGGAACUUGGUGUCACUUUACAGGCUAGAAUAGGAUUACUUUUUGCCUGAAUUAGUAUUGCUACCACCUAUUUGAGCAAAAAGUUUGGGGAUUUCUGGCAUGCGCAUCUAUGAAAGGUGGCUCUGUGAGAUCAUAAAUCUUGCUUUGAACAACAGGAUCCUCCCUGUAGAUAAGCUGAGCAGUAGACUCUUGGUGAGAGGGAAAGAAACUAGCUGGGAGCCCAUUCCAGGUUUAAUAUUAGCUAAUGCACUUCCAUUCUGCUCUGGACAAAGUCCAUACAGAACAGAUCUAAAGGGAAGCUGACAGCUGGAGAAGCUUUCUCCUCACAUCUCCAGAGCAACUGUGUGCAGCCACAGACCAUGCUGCUCACCAGGAG
ensembl:lncRNA